UAUGUCAAGUUCUGUGGUUUCCAGUGUAAGAGGGACAUUAACACACUGGAAAGGGUCCAACAAAGGGCCACCAAGAUGAAGAAGAGAUGGAGCACCUGUCUGAUGAGGAGAGGCUGAGAGAGCUGGGGCUGUUCAGCCUGGAGAAGAGAGGGCCCCAGAGGAUCUUAUAAAUGUUUGCAAAUACUUACUAGGAAGGGUGCAGUUCAGAUGAGGCCAGGCUUUUUUCAGUGGACAAAAGGCCAUAGGCACAAACUGGUAGAGAGGAGGGUCCCUCUGAGCACCAGGAAGCACUUCUUCUCUGGGUGGGUGACUGAGCACUGGUACAAGUUGCCCAAAGAGGUUGUGGACUCUCCUCCUUGGAGAUCUUCAGAAGGCACCUGGACAUGGGCCUGGGCAGCAUGCUCUGGGUGUCCCUGCUGAAGCAGGGGUCUUGGACUAAUGACCCUACCAGCACCUUCUGGCACCCUAUUAAGAUGGUAAGGAGAAUUGCAGGCACCACACUACCUACCAGUGAUCUUUGCUGUAUUCUGCUUUCUUCUGACUAGAUCUUCUGACUCGUUUUCUCUUUCUCUCUCUGAUGUGAUUACAUUUUCUAGAGCAAGGCAUAUAAUUUUCAGUUAUUCAACCUCCUACUUCAAUCUUCUGCCUCUGCUUGCAGAAUAGAUGAAGGAAGACUGUUUUCCCUCAGUCUUUUUUCCCAAAAGAUGAAAAAAAAAGAAAGGAAAUACAAUCAAAGCAUUUAACCAGAAAGGUUUGCUUAUGAAUGAAUGUAAAUAGAGAAUUUGCUUUAAUAGGGCACACAUACCCUCAUUCUGUCCUUUUAGCUCACGUGCUUUGUUUGUGCAGGUAGCUAAUGUGUGUUGCCUGAAAACCAAAUGAGCCGACCCUUUCUGAUUCAUCUUUCCCUCAUCUGUUUUAAAACAUGUGAGCACACACCCAGAGAAGCUUCUAACUUCCUCUUCUGAAUCUAUAUUCUUUCUGCUUCAAAGUUAAUUCUGCCUUUGCAGUUUGUUUCCACUGGAUUUAAAAUAUCCUUCUGAGGUACAGAUUGGUAAAUGCCAGAGAAGGGCAAUGAACACUGAAUGUAACAUGAUUAUAUUUACAUAUAGUACAUUAGCUUGCAGGGACAAGGAUUAUUUAGUUGAUAAAUGAGAACCGUCAGUAUAAACUAUCUGAGUUUACUGUAAUUCUGAAAGUCACACUGAAAAAUGAUCUGUUCUUCAUGUUUUUCUUUGUCCCAUAGCUAAAAGUAGACACAAAGAACAAAAUGUCUGAUUUUUUUUUCAGAAUAUGACCUACUUGUGGGAUUUGCAGUGGAUGCAGACAUUGUGUGUUAUUAUGACAUACUAGUUUUAUUGCUGUGAGUAAUAUAGGUAGUUAUCCAAGUCAAAUUAAUUAAAACAAUCCAGCUUUGCUUCUUGCCAUUCAAAGAGUUGUUGCUGAAAUUGUUGUGUUUUUAAAGCACAAUACAAGAGAACUCACUGCCCCUUUUGAAGCAUCUGUGCCCGACCAGAAUUUGAAAAAAUAAAGAACCAAUUUUAAUAGGCAGUCACUCUACAUAUCAAAAAGUAUUUUCCUCCCUGCUUAUGUCUGUGUACUACAUGUAUUUUUAUAAGUUUUACAAAUGUUUUAAAUAGCUUUUCUUGUAAGGUAAGCUGAAAGUAUUUGUUAACAACAUAAUAUGCAUUGUAAUAUUAAAAUGUUAAUAAUAUCAGUAGUACAAACAUACGU
ensembl:lncRNA